rnacentral:misc_RNA from 1 species
GGGGAGAACAAAUUGUGGAAGGUUGGUUAGUGGUGUUAUGCCAUUGUGUAGUUUUAUCUCUUUCUUUUCUCUUAGGCUACUUUUGGAAAUGUGGGUAGGAAUUCAGUUGUUGAAUUAUGAGAUUAGGAAAAAGAGGUGCAGGGCCUAGAGUUGCAAAUCGACACUUGUACUUCCUACCCCUCAGCCAAGAAGCUGACUGGAGAGUGCACUGUUAGGAUAGAGAUUCGAUCUUCUCAGGAUAUUCUUUGUGGAAAAGUGCUCUGAAAAGCAUGAUCCCGAAUUCAGAUUCCUCAGUCAGAUCGGAAGUUCAAGUCGGUCAAUUGAUGGCUCUCUUGCUCAUCGCAGUCUGUGUAAACUGGUAAAUACAGAAACUCUUCACAACCCCUUUCAUCUAAUGUUUUACUUACAGAAGAUGCUUUUCUGAACAACAAAUUCAGUGCUUUCUCUAGUUCCAGUUAUAAAUCUGACUGCUGGUCAGGUUCAGGAUGGGAUGAUCAGUCAUUUAGGUGAUGUCACUUCAAAAAGCCAACAAGUUAAUGUGUGAACACCAGACCCGUCCAUAGAAUCGCCUUGAAGAUGAUUAUAGU